GAUUUAGUGACUGUUGCUCAGGAAGACAGCUUGCAGUGAAAUUAUGAUUAUGUGGUAAACAUUGACAAAAAUUUGUUAAUGAGUUGCUUAUUAAUUUCUUAUAAGCUCACUAUGAUCUGUAGGUGUGGUUGGCCGAAUAUUGUAAGGGGUUAAUAUGUAGUUUGUAUUUGAAUAGUUAGAUUAACGUGUUAGUAAUCCAAUUGUAGGCGGUUCGUGUGUGGAUCUCGUCAACAUAUCGUCGCAAACAGGUGAGUCUUGAUGUGGGUGACUUGGAGCCGGAGGGGAUUCAGAGUGGCCAUUGUGAACACUUUUGGGUUUGAAAAAGAGACUGGUUUUCUUAAGUUAUUUUUAAUUACUAUUUAAGUUUUGGGUUGUAAUAAGGCCAUUUUAACUUUAUUUUCUUCUUUGAUUUUCUGGGAUUAUAUUAUUUUAAACAACUUUAAAUUGAUGGAUAAUAAUAAUUCAAA